GUAAUUGUAAUCUUGGGUAUCAGG
rnacentral:siRNA from 1 species